rnacentral:pre_miRNA from 1 species
AAUAGAAUUGCUGGGUUAUAUGGUCAAUUCAUGUCUAAACUUUUAAAGAAACUGCCAAACUGUUUUCCAAAGUGGCUGUUAUCAUUUGACAUUCCCACCAGCAAU